GACGAACGCUGGCGGCGUGCUUAACACAUGCAAGUCGAACGGAAAGGCCCUGCUUUUUUGGGGUGCUCGAGUGGCGAACGGGUGAGUAACACGUGAGUAACCUGCCCUUGACUUUGGGAUAACUUCAGGAAACUGGGGCUAAUACCGGAUAGGAGCUCCUGCUGCAUGGUGGGGGUUGGAAAGUUUCGGCGGUUGGGGAUGGACUCGCGGCUUAUCAGCUUGUUGGUGGGGUAGUGGCUUACCAAGGCUUUGACGGGUAGCCGGCCUGGGAGGGUGACCGGCCACAUUGGGACUGAGAUACGGCCCAGACUCCUACGGGAGGCAGCAGUGGGGAAUAUUGCACAAUGGGCGGAAGCCUGAUGCAGAAACGCCGCGUGCGGGAUGACGGCCUUCGGGUUGUAAACCGCUUUCGCCUGUGACGAAGCGUGAGUGACGGUAAUGGGUAAAGAAGCACCGGCUAACUACGUG
rnacentral:rRNA from 1 species